rnacentral:rRNA from 1 species
AUUGAACGCUGGCGGCAGGCCUAACACAUGCAAGUCGAACGAGUGGCGGACGGGUGAGUAAUGUCUGGGAAACUGCCUGAUGGAGGGGGAUAACUACUGGAAACGGUCGCUAAUACUGCUUAACCUCGGAUGUGCCCAGAUGGGAUUAUCUAGUAGGUGGGGUAAAGGCUCACCUAGGCGACGUUCCCUAGCUGGUCUGAGAGGAUGACCAGCCACACUGGAACUGAGACACGGUCCAGACUCCUACGGGAGGCAGCAGUGGGGAAUAUUGCACAAUGGGCGCAAGCCUGAUGCAGCCAUGCCGCGUGUAUGAAGAAGGCCUUCGGGUUGUAAAGUACUUUCAGCGGGGAGGCGUUACCCGCAGAAGAAGCACCGGCUAACUCCGUGCCAGCCGCCGCGGUAAUUC